GACGAACGCUGGCGGCGUGCUUAACACAUGCAAGUCGAACGGAAAGGCCCCGCUUUUGUGGGGUGUUCGAGUGGCGAACGGGUGAGUAACACGUGAGUAACCUGCCCUUGACUUUGGGAUAACUUCAGGAAACUGGGGCUAAUACCGGAUAGGAGCUCCUGCUGCAUGGUGGGGGUUGGAAAGUUUCGGCGGUUGGGGAUGGACUCGCGGCUUAUCAGCUUGUUGGUGGGGUAGUGGCUUACCAAGGCUUUGACGGGUAGCCGGCCUGAGAGGGUGACCGGCCACAUUGGGACUGAGAUACGGCCCAGACUCCUACGGGAGGCAGCAGUGGGGAAUAUUGCACAAUGGGCGGAAGCCUGAUGCAGCAACGCCGCGUGCGGGAUGACGGCCUUCGGGUUGUAAACCGCUUUCGCCUGUGACGAAGCGUGAGUGACGGUAAUGGGUAAAGAAGCACCGGCUAACUACGUG
rnacentral:rRNA from 1 species